rnacentral:rRNA from 1 species
GAUGAACGCUGGCGGCGUGCUUAACACAUGCAAGUCGAGCGAACGGACGAGAAGUUUGCUUCUUUGAUGUUAGCGGAGGACGGGUGAGUAACAUGUGGAUACUCUACUUAUAAGACUGGGAACACUUCGGGAAACCGGAGAUAAUCCCGGAUGAUCUUUUGAACCGCAUGGUUCAAAGGUGAAAGACGGCCUUGCUGUCACUUCUAGCUGCAUCCGCGCUGCAUUAGCUAGUUGGUAAGGUCACGGCUUAUCAAGGCAACGAUGCCUAGCCGACCUGAUAGGGGGAUCGGCCACAUUGGAACUUGGACGCCGUCCAUGGUCCUACGGGAGGCACCAGAAGGGAACCUGCCGCAAUGGUCGAAAGCCUUACGGAGCAACGCCACGUGAGUGGUGAAAGUGUUCGGUGCGUAAAGCUCGGUUAUUGGGUAAAAACAGAUUUGGAAUGAGCCGAACAGAGCGUGACGGUACCGAGUCAAAAAGCCACGGCUAACUACGUG